rnacentral:rRNA from 1 species
GACGAACGCUGGCGGCGUGCCUAAUACAUGCAAGUUGAGCGCUGAAGGUUGGUACUUGUACCAACUGGAUGAGCAGCGAACGGGUGAGUAACGCGUGGGGAAUCUGCCUUUGAGCGGGGGACAACAUUUGGAAACGAAUGCUAAUACCGCAUAAAAACUUUAAACACAAGUUUUAAGUUUGAAAGAUGCAAUUGCAUCACUCAAAGAUGAUCCCGCGUUGUAUUAGCUAGUUGGUGAGGUAAAGGCUCACCAAGGCGAUGAUACGUAGCCGACCUGAGAGGGUGAUCGGCCACAUUGAGACUGAGACACGGCCCAAACUCCUACGGGAGGCAGCAGUAGGGAAUCUUCGGCAAUGGACGAAAGUCUGACCGAGCAACGCCGCGUGAGUGAAGAAGGUUUUCGGAUCGUAAAACUCUGUUGGUAGAGAAGAACGUUGGUGAGAGUGGAAAGCUCAUCAAGUGACGGUAACUACCCAGAAAGGGACGGCUAACUACGUG